UACGGAAGGCAGCAGUGGGGAAUAUUGCACAAUGGGCGCAAGCCUGAUGCAGCCAUGCCGCGUGUAUGAAGAAGGCCUUCGGGUUGUAAAGUACUUUCAGUCGUGAGGAAGGUGUUAAGGUUAAUAACCUUAGCAAUUGACGUUAGCGACAGAAGAAGCACCGGCUAACUCCGUGCCAGCAGCCGCGGUAAUACGGAGGGUGCGAGCGUUAAUCGGAAUUACUGGGCGUAAAGGGCACGCAGGCGGUUAAUUAAGUUGGAUGUGAAAUCCCCGGGCUUAACCUGGGAAUGGCAUUCAAGACUGGUUAGCUAGAGUCUUGUAGAGGGGGUAGAAUUCCAUGUGUAGCGGUGAAAUGUGUAGAGAUGUGGAGGAAUACCGGUGGGCGAAGGCGGGCCCCUGGGACAAAGACUGACGCUCAUGUGCGAAAGCGUGGGGAGCAAACAGGGAUUAGAUACC
rnacentral:rRNA from 1 species